AUUGAACGCUGGCGGCAUGCUUUACACAUGCAAGUCGAACGGUAACAGGCCGCAAGGUGCUGACGAGUGGCGAACGGGUGGGUAAUGCAUCGGAACGUGCCCAGUCGUGGGGGAUAACUACUCGAAAGAGUAGCUAAUACCGCAUACGAUCUAUGGAUGAAAGCGGGGGACCGUAAGGCCUCGCGCGAUUGGAGCGGCCGAUGUCAGAUUAGGUAGUUGGUGGGGUAAAGGCUCACCAAGCCAACGAUCUGUAGCUGGUCUGAGAGGACGACCAGCCACACUGGGACUGAGACACGGCCCAGACUCCUACGGGAGGCAGCAGUGGGGAAUUUUGGACAAUGGGCGCAAGCCUGAUCCAGCAAUGCCGCGUGCAGGAAGAAGGCCUUCGGGUUGUAAACUGCUUUUGUACGGAACGAAACGGCUCUGGUUAAUACCCGGGGCUAAUGACGGUACCGGAAGAAUAAGCACCGGCUAACUACGUG
rnacentral:rRNA from 1 species